UAGAGAGUUUAUGCGCCGGUGUGGAUUUGUGAUUAUCCAUGCAUGUGUUUAUGUAUGUACACAACAACAAAAGUGUUCAAUAAAUUGUCUGUACAUGUAAA
rnacentral:sRNA from 1 species